rnacentral:tmRNA from 2 species
GGGGAUGCCAGGCAUCGACAGCCGGGACUUUUCUUAAAUACUCAAAACGUGCUUAGCCGUCACGCAAAACCGACUAAAAAAACACAAAUGCCAAAACGGCAAAAGCGUUCACUUGGGCUUGCCCGAGUUACGCUCCAGUUAUGGCCUAAUAAAGGUUCCAUAGCCAUCGGUCGCGCCCAGUCUUCAUAAGCGACGGCCGGUGUCAUAAGCUCGCCUCGCUUCGGCGAAGCGGGUAUGGAGAUAGACGUUUAACCGCGCUUUCCGGAAAACGUCGAAACAAGCAGGAAGAUCGCUUCAAUCGCUUUUCGUUCGGUUAUUGAUGGUUGAGGUUAAAACAAAUAAAUCGAACUAUUUUUGUACAGGUAUUUAGGGAAACCGGUUGGACAUGGGUUCAACUCCCAUCAUCUCCACAG